GACGAACGCUGGCGGCGUGCUUAACACAUGCAAGUCGAACGGAAAGGCCCUGCUUUCGGGGUGCUCGCGUGGGGAAAAGGGGUGUGAAACACGUGAGUACCCCGCCCUUCUUUUGGGUAUACCUUGGGGAAACUGGGUAUAAUACCGGAUAGGCCCUCUUGCGGCAUGGUGGGGGUAAGAUAGUUUUGUGGGUGGUGGAUGAGCUGGCUGCCUAUCAGCUUGUUGGUGGGGUAACUGCCUACCAAGGCUCGGGCGGGUAGCCGGCCUGAGAGGGCGGACGGCCACAAUGGGACUGAGAUACGGCCCAGACUCCUACGGGAGGCAGCAGUGGGGAAUAUUGCACAAUGGGCGCAAGCCUGAUGCAGCGACGCCGCGGGGGGGAUGACGGCCUUCGGGUUGGAAACUCCGUUCGCUAGGGACGAAGCUUUUUGUGACGGUACCUAGAUAAGAAGCACCGGCUAACUACGUG
rnacentral:rRNA from 1 species